rnacentral:rRNA from 1 species
UACAGAGGGUGCGAGCGUUAAUCGGAGUUACUGGGCGUAAAGGGCGCGUAGGUGGUUGUUUAAGUGAGAUGUGAAAUCCCUGGGCUUAACCUAGGAACUGCAUCUUAUACUGGGCAACUGGAGUACUGUAGAGGGUAGUGGAAUUUCCGGUGUAGCGGUGAAAUGCGUAGAGAUCGGAAGGAACACCAGUGGCGAAGGCGGCUACCUAGACAGAUACUGACACUGAGGCGCGAAAGCGUGGGGAGCAAACAGG